GCUCGUAUUAUUGUAAUUACAUCUACUUCGUUCCAUCGCCCUCUUUGCUCUUGCGGAGAACGAACAGGAGAUUCUUCUCCAAAUUCGUCUCUUCUGCCUCGAAUCCCUUCUCCUGUUUCUCCAAAUCAACGGGUCCAUGGAACCAGUUGGGGUGGUUUCUUCACACCAUAGGGGUUUUGAUCGCUUCCGUUGUGGAAUGGUGCGAUAAAUCAACUUUGAGCCGUGGUUUCAGAUUAGGGUUGUCUGACCGGAGAGUGGGAGAUAUGUAUAGUGGUGGGAACGGAUCGAAGAUGGAGGUUGGAUUCUUAGAUCGGAAGCGGAUCAACGAUGCGCUUGAUAAGCACCUAGAGAAAUCCUCGCCGUCGACCUCCAGGGGCUUGAUCGUCAAGGAUAAGGACAAGCUCACGCUGCCGUCUUCCGCCUCGGAGAAGCAGCCGGAGCACAGUUCCUUGUCGAAAAAUAAAGGUUCCGAUGGUGAAGCAGAUGCUUAUUGCUCUGCUAUCUGAAUCUGAGAUGAGAUUAGCUGAUGAGGUUGCGGAGUCGAUCCUAGAUAAGAUUUGCAGUCACAUCUGUUUUCAUAACUAUGAGAAACUAGCAAAUGCUUCAAUGAUUCCUAAUUUUUCUUGAACAGACAUUCCAAGAAGCAGAUGCAAAUCAGGAUGGAAAAAUAGAUAAAAUCCAAUGGGGACAUAACUACAACUUUUCCAAGUUUUGUAUUCUAUUCUGAGGUCGAGGACAUUGCUACAUGAUGAGUGUUGCCUUAACACAAACAAGGAGAUUUCAAAACAGUAAGGCAGCUGCUGUUCCAUGAAGUAAAAAAAACAAACUACAUAUGAACUGAUUGCCAUUCUGUCAAAGUUUCUAGCCACAGCUUUAUAAUGCAUUUGCGUAUUGCGUUGAAUGACUGCUAGUGAUUUUAAUGCACUUACGAGUUUCUGAGGAUGAUAUCUAAACGCGUAUACAUAUGAUAUCUCUCAGUAACUUUAUCUCUGCCAAAUUUGAUGUGGAAGUUAUACAAGUUUUUACUUCUUUUUGGUGCC